GACGAACGCUGGCGGCGUGCCUAAUACAUGCAAGUAGGACGCACAGUCUAUACCGUAGCUUGCUACACCAUAGGCUGUGAGUUGCGAACGGGUGAGUAACGCGUAGGUAACCUGCCUAUUAGAGGGGGAUAACUAUUGGAAACGAUAGCUAAUACCGCAUAACAGUAUGUAACACAUGUUAGAUGCUUGAAAGAUGCAAUUGCAUCGCUAGUAGAUGACCUGCGUUGUAUUAGCUAGUAGGUAGGGUAAUGGCCUACCUAGGCGACGAUACAUAGCCGACCUGAGAGGGUGAUCGGCCACACUGGGACUGAGACACGGCCCAGACUCCUACGGGAGGCAGCAGUAGGGAAUCUUCGGCAAUGGGGGGAACCCUGACCGAGCAACGCCGCGUGAGUGAAGAAGGUUUUCGGAUCGUAAAGCUCUGUUGUUAAGGAAGAACGAGCGUGAGAAUGGAAAGUUCAUACUGUGACGGUACUUAACCAGAAAGGGACGGCUAACUACGU
rnacentral:rRNA from 1 species